rnacentral:rRNA from 1 species
ACGAACGCUGGCGGCGUGCUUAACACAUGCAAGUCGAACGGUGAAGCCUUCGGGUGGAUCAGUGGCGAACGGGUGAGUAACACGUGGGCAAUCUGCCCUGCACUCUGGGACAAGCCCUGGAAACGGGGUCUAAUACCGGAUGAUACCUACUUCCGCAUGGUGGUGGGUUGAAAGCUCCGGCGGUGCAGGAUGAGCCCGCGGCCUAUCAGCUUGUUGGUGGGGUGAUGGCCUACCAAGGCGACGACGGGUAGCCG